rnacentral:rRNA from 1 species
UGGGGAAUUUUGGACAAUGGGCGAAAGCCUGAUCCAGCAAUGCCGCGUGUGUGAAGAAGGCCUUCGGGUUGUAAAGCACUUUUGUCCGGAAAGAAAUCCUUGGCUCUAAUACAGUCGGGGGAUGACGGUACCGGAAGAAUAAGCACCGGCUAACUACGUGCCAGCAGCCGCGGUAAUACGUAGGGUGCAAGCGUUAAUCGGAAUUACUGGGCGUAAAGCGUGCGCAGGCGGUUUGCUAAGACCGAUGUGAAAUCCCCGGGCUCAACCUGGGAACUGCAUUGGUGACUGGCAGGCUAGAGUAUGGCAGAGGGGGGUAGAAUUCCACGUGUAGCAGUGAAAUGCGUAGAGAUGUGGAGGAAUACCGAUGGCGAAGGCAGCCCCCUGGGCCAAUACUGACGCUCAUGCACGAAAAGCGUGGGGAGCAAAACAGGAUUAGAUACCCUGGUAGUCCACGCCCUAAACGAUGUCAACUAGUUGUUGGGGAUUCAUUUCCUUAGUAACGUAGCUAACGCGUGAAGUUGACCGCCUGGGGAGUACGGUCGCAAGAUUAAAACUCAAAGGAAUUGACGGGGUCAUAGCUGUUUCCU